UCGGCGUUUUGCUGCAGUUUCACCAUAUCUGUUGGUCGAUCGGACUCAAGGGCUGUAGUUAUUAUAUAAUCAGUGGCUAAUAAAGGUGCUCAACGUGUCAAAAGUUAUUUUCCAGCGUGGCAUCUUUGGCUCAACAUAUUCACAAACAAGGCAGAGAUAUUAUUGUGGGGAGAAUUGUAGUAGAAGAUCAUUGCAGCCACUGUCCCUAUUUUACCAAAUGUGGUCAAAUACAUACAAUUGUUGCUGAAGAAAAGUCCUGAGUGAUCAAAUGUUAUCCUUCAGCUGUGAUGCAGUUAGCGUUAUUCCUCACACUCGAACAGAGUAUUCCAGGUUUACUAUACCCUCCAGUCUGUCAGGGAAUUAUUUGAUAGAUUCACAGCCUAAGAAAUGGAUAAAACGAAAGAUUUACUGGAUUCAAGUUCUAUCAAAAUGAAUGACGAUGAGGUCCAUAUUAUAAUCCAAUACAUUGCUGGGUUUAUUUUACAAAAAAUGCAAAAAUUAUGCUAAGACCCGGAAGACUGCAAAAGAAUUCAGUCAUUAUUUAAUCCCGAACCGGACUGUUUGAUAACUGACUCUAUGAUUGCAGUAAUGCAGGAAACAGAAUAUGGACGCCUAACUGUACCAUUGCCCAGUGUCCAAGCUGCUCAAAAUUGAAUUUAGAUAAAACUAUGCUCAUGAAAGUGUUACAGCCACAGUUUUUGAAAAUUUCAAUAUAGAAUCAUUUGGUAUCGCCCAAAACGAUACUAGCAUGCUGGACAUCUUGGAAAAAUAAGAUGCCAUCAAACAGAAUUUAUCCCUACGAAAACUGCUCAAAAUUAAAAAUAAAUGUAGAUGAAGAGCAUGAUCUCAUUUCACUUUAUUUUGCAAGGUAGUGCGUUUAGAUGUGAUUGCAGUUUUAUUUUUAUUACUUAAGCAGUAAAUUUUCAUGACAAUAGGCAAUGUAAGUUGCAUAAUAAAAAUACAGCAUAUCUAAAACUGUUUGAGUUGUCCCAGCGACAGAUGAUUUCCAGUUGAGUAUUUCUGGAAUGAAAAUUAUUUUCAAGCCAAAUCAGACGCUCGUCAAUGCUAUGAAAUGUCG